rnacentral:rRNA from 1 species
AGCAGCCGCGGUAAUUCCAGCUCCAAUAGCGUAUAUUAAAGUUGUUGCAGUUAAAAAGUUCGUAGUUGAAUUUCGGGAUUUUAGUAGGCUGGUUAUGAACUCGCGCGCUGCAGGUUUAUGUACUGGUCUUACUAAUUCCUCUUUCCUGAUGAACUGUAGUGCCAUUUAAUUUGGUGUUGCAGGGAAUCUGGACUGUUACUUUGAAAAAUUGAGUGUUUAAAGCAGGCUAACGCUUGAAUAAGUUAGCAUGGAAUAAUGAAAUAGGACGUUCGAUCCUAUUUUGUUGGUUUCUAGGAUUGACGUAAUGAUUAAUAGAGAUAGUUGGGGGCAUUAGUAUUCAAUUGUCAGAGGUGAAAUUC